GUGGUAUAGGUAUUAGUAGAGCGGACUAAUACUGUGGUUGAUUAGGUGGCAUGAUAUGAUGUGCUUUUGUGAUUAAUUAUGUUGAUAAUGUGUGAUGGUAUACAUGAUGAUGUGAAUGUAUACGUGUGUGAAUAGACUGUAUUAUGGCUUAGAGUGUGAGCAUGUGUCUAUUCUUGAUUAUUGUUGAUGUUGCAUUGCUAGGUGAUUAGCAUGCAUAUUGUGGCCCAUUUGGGGUGGUAGCUAAUUCCCAUGGUGAG
rnacentral:lncRNA from 1 species